AGGCCCUUCACCUUGUUAUAAAUAGUCCAAAGAGAGCCACUUUGCCAUCAUAUAAUUUGAAGACUUCAUGUUAUUUGUAGACUGAAGGAAAACAUUAGAAGAAAAUUUAAUUGGAAGCGGGAGGGGGGAUUCCUGGUUUCCUUUUGACAAGAGCUUUUGUGGAUUCAGUAAAUACUGAGGAUACCAUUUUGAGACAUGAAAACAUGCCAUUUCUUUUUCAUCUUCUUCAUUCUGUUGCUGGAUCAUCCAGGAGUCAUUGCAAGAAUUACCAAUUGGUCAGAUUGUCAUUUGCUUGAUGCAGUAUGUGUUGGAAAACGGCGCUGUCCUUGGCCCUUUACAAGAGAACUUGGUUACUGUAAUAAAUACAAAAAGUGUUGCCAAUAUUGAAAUUAAAUUUUUCAAGGCACAAA